UUUUGUCCCCUACAGAACUUAUAACGAACAUGGUUCUUGCCUUUUACCAGAACCAUCCGGGUGUUGUCUCCACUGAAACAGGUAAAGCUGUCCGCUACUGUGAAUUUGUCUCAUUUUUUGGAACUUAUUUUACCCUCUUUACU
rnacentral:snRNA from 1 species